rnacentral:rRNA from 1 species
CCUACGGUGAGCAGCAGUGGGGAAUAUUGGACAAUGGGCGAAAGCCUGAUCCAGCCAUGCCGCGUGUGUGAAGAAGGCCUUCGGGUUGUAAAGCACUUUCAGUGGGGAAGAAAGCCUUGGGGCUAAUACCCUCGAGGAAGGACAUCACCCACAGAAGAAGCACCGGCUAACUCCGUGCCAGCAGCCGCGGUAAUACGGAGGGUGCGAGCGUUAAUCGGAAUUACUGGGCGUAAAGCGCGCGUAGGCGGUCUGAUAAGCCGGUUGUGAAAGCCCCGGGCUCAACCUGGGAACGGCAUCCGGAACUGUCAGGCUAGAGUGCAGGAGAGGAAGGUAGAAUUCCCGGUGUAGCGGUGAAAUGCGUAGAGAUCGGGAGGAAUACCAGUGGAGAAGGCGGCCUUCUGGACUGACACUGACGCUGAGGUGCGAAAGCGUGGGUAGCAAACAGGAUUAGAUACCCGAGUAGUC